rnacentral:rRNA from 1 species
ACAUGCCUACAACUUAGAGUUAAUGCACCGGAUGCCAUUAGAACUUCGCAGUUAAGCGAGUUUAGGCUAGAGUAGUACUGGGAUGGGUAACUGCCUAGGAAGUCCUAGUAUUUUACAUGCC